CUGAAUCAGUGUGUGUGUUAGUGGAAGCGUCUGGAAAGGCGCGCGAUACAGGGUGACAGCCCCGUACACAAAAAUGCACAUGCUGUGAGCUCGAUGAGUAGGGCGGGACACGUGGUAUCCUGUCUGAAUAUGGGGGGACCAUCCUCCAAGGCUAAAUACUCCUGACUGACCGAUAGUGAACCAGUACCGUGAGGGAAAGGCGAAAAGAACCCCGGCGAGGGGAGUGAAAAAGAACCUGAAACCGUGUACGUACAAGCAGUGGGAGCACGCUUAGGCGUGUGACUGCGUACCUUUUGUAUAAUGGGUCAGCGACUUAUAUUCUGUAGCAAGGUUAACCGAAUAGGGGAGCCGAAGGGAAACCGAGUCUUAACUGGGCGUUAAGUUGCAGGGUAUAGACCCGAAACCCGGUGAUCUAGCCAUGGGCAGGUUGAAGGUUGGGUAACACUAACUGGAGGACCGAACCGACUAAUGUUGAAAAAUUAGCGGAUGACUUGUGGCUGGGGGUGAAAGGCCAAUCAAACCGGGAGAUAGCUGGUUCUCCCCGAAAGCUAUUUAGGUAGCGCCUCGUGAAUUCAUCUCCGGGGGUAGAGCACUGUUUCGGCAAGGGGGUCAUCCCGACUUACCAACCCGAUGCAAACUGCGAAUACCGGAGAAUGUUAUCACGGGAGACACACGGCGGGUGCUAACGUCCGUCGUGAAGAGGGAAACAACCCAGACCGCCAGCUAAGGUCCCAAAGUCAUGGUUAAGUGGGAAACGAUGUGGGAAGGCCCAGACAGCCAGGAUGUUGGCUUAGAAGCAGCCAUCAUUUAAAGAAAGCGUAAUAGCUCACUGGUCGAGUCGGCCUGCGCGGAAGAUGUAACGGGGCUAAACCAUGCACCGAAGCUGCGGCAGCGACGCUGAUGCGUUGUUGGGUAGGGGAGCGUUCUGUAAGCCUGCGAAGGUGUGCUGUGAGGCAUGCUGGAGGUAUCAGAAGUGCGAAUGCUGACAUAAGUAACGAUAAAGCGGGUGAAAAGCCCGCUCGCCGGAAGACCAAGGGUUCCUGUCCAACGUUAAUCGGGGCAGGGUGAGUCGACCCCUAAGGCGAGGCCGAAAGGCGUAGUCGAUGGGAAACAGGUUAAUAUUCCUGUACUUGGUGUUACUGCGAAGGGGGGACGGAGAAGGCUAUGUUGGCCGGGCGACGGUUGUCCCGGUUUAAGCGUGUAGGCUGGUUUUCCAGGCAAAUCCGGAAAAUCAAGGCUGAGGCGUGAUGACGAGGCACUACGGUGCUGAAGCAACAAAUGCCCUGCUUCCAGGAAAAGCCUCUAAGCAUCAGGUAACAUCAAAUCGUACCCCAAACCGACACAGGUGGUCAGGUAGAGAAUACCAAGGCGCUUGAGAGAACUCGGGUGAAGGAACUAGGCAAAAUGGUGCCGUAACUUCGGGAGAAGGCACGCUGAUAUGUAGGUGAAGUCCCUCGCGGAUGGAGCUGAAAUCAGUCGAAGAUACCAGCUGGCUGCAACUGUUUAUUAAAAACACAGCACUGUGCAAACACGAAAGUGGACGUAUACGGUGUGACGCCUGCCCGGUGCCGGAAGGUUAAUUGAUGGGGUCAGCGCAAGCGAAGCUCUUGAUCGAAGCCCCGGUAAACGGCGGCCGUAACUAUAACGGUCCUAAGGUAGCGAAAUUCCUUGUCGGGUAAGUUCCGACCUGCACGAAUGGCGUAAUGAUGGCCAGGCUGUCUCCACCCGAGACUCAGUGAAAUUGAACUCGCUGUGAAGAUGCAGUGUACCCGCGGCAAGACGGAAAGACCCCGUGAACCUUUACUAUAGCUUGACACUGAACAUUGAGCCUUGAUGUGUAGGAUAGGUGGGAGGCUUAGAAGUGUGGACGCCAGUCUGCAUGGAGCCGACCUUGAAAUACCACCCUUUAAUGUUUGAUGUUCUAACGUUGACCCGUAAUCCGGGUUGCGGACAGUGUCUGGUGGGUAGUUUGACUGGGGCGGUCUCCUCCUAAAGAGUAACGGAGGAGCACGAAGGUUGGCUAAUCCUGGUCGGACAUCAGGAGGUUAGUGCAAUGGCAUAAGCCAGCUUGACUGCGAGCGUGACGGCGCGAGCAGGUGCGAAAGCAGGUCAUAGUGAUCCGGUGGUUCUGAAUGGAAGGGCCAUCGCUCAACGGAUAAAAGGUACUCCGGGGAUAACAGGCUGAUACCGCCCAAGAGUUCAUAUCGACGGCGGUGUUUGGCACCUCGAUGUCGGCUCAUCACAUCCUGGGGCUGAAGUAGGUCCCAAGGGUAUGGCUGUUCGCCAUUUAAAGUGGUACGCGAGCUGGGUUUAGAACGUCGUGAGACAGUUCGGUCCCUAUCUGCCGUGGGCGCUGGAGAACUGAGGGGGGCUGCUCCUAGUACGAGAGGACCGGAGUGGACGCAUCACUGGUGUUCGGGUUGUCAUGCCAAUGGCACUGCCCGGUAGCUAAAUGCGGAAGAGAUAAGUGCUGAAAGCAUCUAAGCACGAAACUUGCCCCGAGAUGAGUUCUCCCUGACCCUUUAAGGGUCCUGAAGGAACGUUGAAGACGACGACGUUGAUAGGCCGGGUGUGUAAGCGCAGCGAUGCGUUGAGCUAACCGGUACUAAUGAACCGUGAGGCUUAACCUUACAACGCCGAAGGUGUUU
rnacentral:rRNA from 1 species